CUCGGAUUAGAAACAGUGAAAAUUAUGUUUCAUGUCAGGAGACAUACCGGAUACUGGCAAAUAGGUUCCUGAACGAAACAAUCCAAACCUGAUAGGGGCGGAUCCGUCUCAAAAAUAAACACGGGAUGUAACGCAAUACGUCCGGCACAUGAAGAGGGUGUUUGAUGCUGAGAUACAUUUCAAGAAGUAGGGUGCUUUCGUAAAUUCACUCUGGCUAUCUACUCCGAUUUCAGAGCCAGAGCGCAGGAUAACUGAUUCAUUUACGAACGCUCAACACCAAUUGAACAUGGCCGGUGUCAGUGAAGUCGGCAAAAGGCGUAAUGAAAUUGUUGCCAGCAGCAGUUACAGUCACCAACGCGCUAGAUAACAUGAAAACACCCUAACCAGCUCUGCAAGGGCGAGUACAAAUUGUGUAUGGAAGUAGCUAGUCAGCUAGCCCGCGUUAGCGUUGGGUGCUUGACUGCCGUUGUGAGGAUCAACCCCUACUCCUCGGCCACAGCAUCCAGUGUGCGCUCUGAACAACGCUCUGCAUUUAUGAAUAGACAAUCUGACAAAACUCUGAUUUUACGCAUGCCCAGAGCGCACUCUGGCACUCUAGAUUGAAUUUACGAACACACCCGUAUCUAAAAUAGGAGCUCUUUUGAUUAUUUUCAGUUGUUGUUGCCAUGACUCCACCUUCAAUGACUACUAGUGAGUAUUGAGCGCACCUUCAAUGACUACUGGUUGAAUCAUCAGUCUUCUCUGCCAUUACGUGUUGGCGACACUAAUCCAAUGGGACAGAUUUACCUGCUACGGGCCUGUCCUCUCCCUCCAUUCCUGCCGGAUAUUAUUUUACCAUCAGUGAGGGGAGAUGGGGUGUCAGGGGCGCGUCUUGGCAGGAAGGGGAAAAACAUGACGUGCCGCACAGCUGUGUCUACACCAAGGGAGACCCGCCCGCCAUGAAAACAGCCAGUUGAGAUGUGUUCAUAAUCUCUGACUACCCUAGUCACACACAGGGCCGGGUUAGAGGGAUGGAGUGGUAUAAAGGUGAAUGGCUUGAAGUGGCCGUAACGUUGCAGGCUAACUCAGUGAUGCUACCUCUCAUUGGUUAUCCCACGUUGAAGGCAUACCGGGGUACUGCAGGCUGCCAUUAGCAACUAAAUUAUCCUUAUAACUACUUGUGUGUGCGAUUUUAAAAUAAUCGGUUCAAGUACAUACAUCUGGUUUAUUAGAAAUAACUAUUGGUAACAUGAUUGUCUUUGAAUGUUUUAUUUAUUUACACGAAGAUGAACAAUGAAGAUCGACAUUUUCUUCCCAUUUACUGCUUUCUGUUAACAAUGCCUGCAGUACCGCGGUCGGCCUUGAACUUCCGAGAGGGGGCAGUCGUUCGUUUGUCUCACAUGGGUGGGUUCCUCUGGUCCUCCCACACAGUAAAUACAAAACUCAGCUCCACCCCAGCCCAGACACAUCUGUCCGGUAAAAUAUAGAUGGCUUCUCUCCAAACGUUGCCUCACCUCUACAGAAAAAAUGACCUGGUGAAAUCAUGUUUAAAUCAUGCAGCAAUUUCUCAAUAUGGAGCAAGAUUCCUGACAAUAUUAUUGAUGAUACAAAAGAUAACAGUAGAGAGACGGAUUUACAGACAGAAUGUUCAUGCUUUUAUGUGUUCUAAGCUAUGGUGCCGGAGAAUACUCUCAUUCUAAUAAGCUAUGGCUCUACUGUGUACUGUGAUUGUAAUACUGCCUCUCUACUGCCAUAUACUGUUUAUACUCCUCUUCUGGACAAAGGCCUAUCUGUAUAAAGUCAAGAGUUGUUGAUUAGACUGUCCCCAGGCAUUGCCUUGCUUUUGUCUAGUGUCUGUGACACAUUGGCUCUUGGUAUGAGGGCACAUUCAUAAUCUUACUAAUGGCCUUGGAUGAAUAUUUUCCCUUUGGGGGGUCACAUGGGUGUCUUGUGAUUACUGGGAGGGGUGUGUACUGGGAGGGGUGGCAGAUAUCUGUUGACCAACCGUGUAGAUAAAUUGACAGAAAGUGCUAUAUCCAAAAGUACAGGCUGAAUAUAGCUUGGGUGUGUAGAUAUCACGGUGGGCUGAGCAAUAUUUUACUCUCUUAUCUUACAAACUGUCUAUAGAGAGACUGCAAAUAAUAAACUUGUCGGUUUCCCUAUCAAUCUUAACCUGUCGGGCACUUGGUUAUCACGACCAACAUAGAGAGACAGUUGUGGGAUGCUUUCUUUGCCCCACCCAAACAGUGAAAGUGAUGUCAUUACUACUGCUUAUGCAAACCAGCUGUGUGACCUUAUUGUCUGUAUGGGAUUUACAGUGGUGUUGAGCUUUAAAAAAUAAAUAAUCCCCCA